rnacentral:rRNA from 1 species
CCUACGGGAGGCAGCAGUGAGGAAUAUUGGUCAAUGGUCGGGAGUCUGAACCAGCCAAGCCGCGUGAGGGAGGAAGGUACAGAGUAUCGUAAACCUCUUUUGUCAGGGAACAAAGCGUGGGACGCGUCCCCGGAUGAGUGUACCUGAAGAAUAAGCAUCGGCUAACUCCGUGCCAGCAGCCGCGGUAAUACGGAGGAUGCGAGCGUUAUCCGGAUUUAUUGGGUUAAAAGGGUGCGCAGGCGGUCUGUUAAGUCAGUGGUAAAAGCCCGGGGCUCAACCCCGGCCCGCCGUUGAAACUGGCAGUCUCGAGUUGGAGAGAAGUAGGCGGAAUGCGCGGUGUAGCGGUGAAAUGCAUAGAUAUCGCGCAGAACUCCGAUUGCGAAGGCAGCAUGCCGGAUCCACACUGACGCUGAGGCACGAAAGCGUGGGUAUCGAACAGGAUUAGAUACCCCUGUAGUC